UCUCCAAUUCCCCACCGCACGUGAGGGCAAGGAAAGGCGGCGAGAGAGAAACCGCGCCGGCGCGUCGCCGCGUCGCCGCGUCGGCGGUGCCCACCUCCGGCGACCCCCAUUACCCCGUAUGGCCGUAUGUCUGGACGCCGCAUCCGCCGGAAGACGUCUAGAACUCCAGAACUCCCAGCGUGAUGUCAAAAGUGGAAGAGAGUGCUGGAGCUCCAGCUCCAUAACUUUCCUUCGCUGUUGUUGGCAAAGGACAAUUUGGCUGCUUGGCAAGCAUAUCUCCAUGUUGUUGCACACACCUACACAACUUCUGAACCCAUCGAGCAUCUGCAGAAAGUGAAGAGCACCUUCUGCAUUUGAAGACACUUUUUGCUGUUAGUUUUGCUAGAGCUGGAAGGCACACUCGCAGAUCUGAAUAUCUGAGAUGACUAGCCAUGGCUGGAACGGGAGAUGAAGUGCUUUCUAUGUAUCUGGAAAUGGAAGAGGAGAGAUUCAGAGAAAAGAAACUGUGCUGCAAUGGUGCUCGACCGGUAUGGUUUACCUCCCUAUUAUAUAAGCAGAAGCCUUGCAGUGGGUGACUGUGCAGUCUGCAUACAGCAAGAAUCUCAUCCUUGAUGGGUUGUAGUGCUUCUGGAAUAAAAGCCAUCCAUCUGGACGACAAGCUGAUGCUUUUUUAUGUUUCAUGAUCAGUGCAACUAGCAUCCCUAACAGUCUGUGUUUGAGCUUUUGAUCACCCUGUCAUGUCUCUACUAUGGGUGGCAGAGUCAUCUGCACGAGCGUGUAGUCUAUUGUCAGAUACAGAUCGAGAUCAUGAGAUUGGUGAGUGGGGAGGGAGAUGUUGAGAGAAAGAGCUGGCACUGAUUGGUGGGGGAGGAACAGUUGACUUCUGGGCUCCGACGCAACAGGGUGUGUUCAUGUGAUGAGCAUUGCUUGCAUGUUUCUACUAGUACUAUUAACUACUACAUGUGAUCCUUUGCAAUCUCAGGGUGCAUUAGGUGCUGCUAGCUAGGCCUCUCACAUUGUCAUGUCCUACUUAUUGGCGGCAAGAAGAGGCAAGGAGGUUUUCUCUAUUGCUGGGUCUAGUCAUACCUGUUCUGGAUCAAACUCCUGAAGAAAAGCUGGACUCUACUCUGAAGAUCCACAAUGUCCAGCUGACCAGCUCCAACACCUGUGAAUGAGUGCCGACGAGGCUGGCAUGUCUCAGCUCAGGUGCUGCUAGCAGUGACAUCUGCAGUUGUGACAACCUGUAAUUUAAUGUCAGGAGAUCAAGAUCAUCAGAUCUGCAAGCAUGCAAAUGAAACGAUCAAGGAGCUGUGGUUCAUGGUGGUUGGUAAUUAGUGGUGGAAGCAACAGGUGGCUCUCUUGACAUAUAGGGCUUCAUCGUCGGAUGCCUUGUUAGUGGCGUGUGCUUCUUUUCUUAGGGCGAGUGACCUGUCUGCAGCUACAGAGAAGCAGAUAGAGUAACUGAUCACCACCGAUGCUCAGGAAUCAGGAUUUUCUUCUGUAAUUUGUGUUUGUAAAUUGUUUCUGUUAUGUUCUCUGUAUAUCUAUUUUAAGGUUUUUGUAACAAAUCUGGGCCUUUUCACAACAAGAACAAAUGUCUGAUGAACCGCUGCUGAUGCUACGACUUUGCA